UACGUAGGGGGCAAGCGUUGUCCGGAAUUAUUGGGCGUAAAGCGCGCGCAGGCGGUCCUUUAAGUCUGAUGUGAAAGCCCACGGCUCAACCGUGGAGGGUCAUUGGAAACUGGGGGACUUGAGUACAGAAGAGAAGAGUGGAAUUCCACGUGUAGCGGUGAAAUGCGUAGAGAUGUGGAGGAACACCCGUGGCGAAGGCGGCUCUCUGGGACGGGACUGACGCUGAGACGCGAAAGCGUGGGGAGCGAACAGG
rnacentral:rRNA from 1 species